GUCAGGCGGGACUACCCGCUGAGUUUAA
rnacentral:rRNA from 2 species